GUUUUAAUAGUUUAAUAAUAAAACAUUGGUCUUGUAAACCAAAAAUAAGUUUAACUUUUAAAACU
rnacentral:tRNA from 1 species